UUCCUACGGGGGGCAGCAGUAGGGAAUCUUCCACAAUGGACGAAAGUCUGAUGGAGCAACGCCGCGUGAGUGAAGAAGGGUUUCGGCUCGUAAAGCUCUGUUGGUAGUGAAGAAAGAUAGAGGUAGUAACUGGCCUUUAUUUGACGGUAAUUACUUAGAAAGUCACGGCUGACUACGUGCCAGCAGCCGCGGUAAUACGUAGGUGGCUAGCGUUGUCCGGAAUUACUGGGGGGAAAGGGAGCGCAGGCGGG
rnacentral:rRNA from 1 species